GUGGGCGUGGCGAAACUGGUAGACGCGUACGGCUUAGGACCGUAUGGGGUAACCCUUGGAGGUUCGAAUCCUCUCGUCCACA
rnacentral:tRNA from 1 species